rnacentral:rRNA from 1 species
GUGAACUCAUCUUCGGGGGUAGAGCACUGUUUCGACUAGGGGGUCAUCCCGACUUACCAACUCGAUGCAAACUACGAAUACCGAAGAAUGUUAUCACGGGAGACACACGGCGGGUGCUAACGUUCGUCGUGAAGAGGGAAACAACCCAGACCGCCAGCUAAGGUCCCAAAGUCAUAGUUAAGUGGGAAACGAAGUGGGAAGGCUCAGACAGCCAGGAUGUUGGCUUAGAAGCAGCCAUCAUUUAAAGAAAGCGUAAUAGCUCACUGGUCGAGUCGGCCUGCGCGGAAGAUGUAACGGGGCUAAACUAUGCACCGAAGCUGCGGCAGCGAACGUAUCACUUAAACUGAUUAAGUGAUACUCAAAUGUAUCAAAACGAUUGACGGAGCGAAGCGACGUCAAUGCGUCCAACAAAGUCGAGGCGGAAACGUCAGGCAGUCAGUUUAAGGAUACGUUCGUUGGGUAGGGGAGCGUUCUGUAAGCCUGUGAAGGUGUGCUGUGAGGCAUGCUGGAGGUAUCAGAAGUGCGAAUGCUGACAUAAGUAACGAUAAUGCGGGUGAAAAACCCGCACGCCGGAAGACCAAGGGUUCCUGUCCAACGUUAAUCGGGGCAGGGUGAGUCGACCCCUAAGGCGAGGCAGAAAUGCGUAGUCGAUGGGAAACGGGUUAAUAUUCCCGUACUGGUGAUAAUUGCGAUGGGGGGACGGAGAAGGCUAGGCUAUCCGGGCGACGGUUGUCCCGGUUUAAGGAUGUAGGC